GGCCCAAUGAUUCCUAAAAAAAGGUUUUUUUUUAAAGAUGCAAAUAGUUUUUCACUUACUCAUAAUUAUCAAGGCCCUUUAUAUUAACAAACUUAAAUUUGUUCCUCUCUUUUACAAGCUUUUAUUUAUCUAAGAAUACUUUGUGACAAUUUUGGUUGAAAUUGGCCCAGUAGGUUUUUGAGAAGAAGAUGAAAAGUUGAAAAGUUAAUAAAGACGCCAACAACUACUUUUGAUCAGUAAGGCUCACUUGAGUCUUUAGCUCAGGUGAGCUAAAAAUUAAAUGCGAGAGUUACUGUUGUCAUAUUUACUAGUAAGAAAACGUAGUCUGCCUAUGAAAAUGAGAAAGCUAAAUAAACUUCAACAUUUUCAAAAUUAUUGCGAUUUUUUAACAUAUUAGGAAUUUCACGGAAAACGAUAUUUACAUUUGUAAUUUGUUUUUUUACUUAAAUGAACAUAUUGGAGAGAAAAUAUGUUCAAUUCUGUAUGAACUUAUUUCGGUGUCAGAAGUCGUAGCGCGAACGAAUCACACAGAUGAUAAAUUGCCUACAUAUUUCUGUGAUGAUGACACGUCUUCAUAUCAGUGAAAUAUUCUGGAGAGGGGUGUUAAACAGUAUACAAUCAAUCAAUAUGUCAUGUUGCAAAUGAUUUUGGAAUGUUUUGAAGUUAAUACCAACGAAAAAAAAAUCAUUGAAACAUAUGGAUAUUUGUCAAUCAAAAACAUACCAUCUAGAUCUUCUUUUGAUGUGAAUAAUUUGAAUACUACAAUUACUCUAAAACUGCACUUACCCUUUUAACCCGAAAUUCCUUUGGGGGUAUGUACAUGUACAAAAAUAAAACAGGCAAUGACACCGCUUUCAGUUUCAAAUAGACGAAUUGAAAUACUUAUAUAUAUACUCAUGAAAUAGUGCAAUUUACUCAGCAGCAAUCAUUAGUCUUUCAUUAUAAAGAGAAUUCCUGGACUGAACAGCUUAACAUCAAUGUAUACAUUCAAAUGUUAAAGCGAGGUAAACUUUUAAGACCAAACAACGUCUAGGUCACAGAGCAUCACAACAAAGCAACAUGACGGCCCGUUCGUGUACUAAAUGCAGUUUUACUAUGCAUUAAUUUGUCUCAAAUGUAAAUAUAAGUAAUAAACAAACAUGUUAAAAAGCUUUAUGGUCACUGAACUUAGUUGGUACGUGAUCAAAUCUACUGAGAAGCUUCACAGUAUUUGAUUACGUGACCAACGAAAUUAAUUUCCAAGAAAACUUGUUGACAGUGUUGAUUAUUUUUUAAUAAUUCGUGUUUUUGAAGAAUUGGAUAUAUUCUUGUUAAUUCCUUAUCUUGAUGUAAUAACCAAUCGUCUUCGCAGAAUUUACAGCUUCAGACCAUGUUGUGUUGGAGAAAAAUGGGACGAUCGUCUUCAAAAAUGUAGCAGAUGUCCUGAUAGACAUUAUGGCGUUAACUGUAGUCUAACAUGUGACAUUCCAUACUACGGAUAUCGCUGCUCAACUGGGAAGUGUGCAUGUAAUCGAAUAUCUUGUCGAAUAUCAACAGCAUGUCAUCCAAUGAGAGAAACAACGAGAUCUAGAAUAUCAACGGAAAGAGAAUCAGUCCGUAUGGAAGAGCAAAAAAACACCAAAAUAUUGGACACUUUCAACUAAACCCAUACAACUUCAUAAUUUGACAGGUUUAUAAACGAAAGGGAUAUCAAUAAAAACACAAACAGACGCUAUGGAAGAAAAAAAGACAACAGGAACUAUAAAACUAUCAACAAAAUCUAUACAACUUCGAUAUUCGACAGAUGCACAAGAAAUAUCAACAAAAACAGAAACUGAUAUAGUAACAACAUCAGUCAAAACUUCGAACCAGUCAACAAAAUUCAAACGAAAGAAUAGAAGAAUACAAACUUCACCGUUGUUUACUAUAGCUGCAACAAUCUUAGUUAGAAAUACAACCGACGUUGUUAAAGAAAAUAAUGUUUUAUUCCCAUAUGUUUUGGGUUCCAUUUUUCUAUUUUCACUUUUAUUAUUCAUUGCGAUAUGUGUAUAUAAGCAUGCAAAACUAUGCUCUGUGCUUGAUUUAUUUUCUCUAAAAUGCAAACGAUCACAAAACGACGAAAUUCAUUUUCAAAAUUAUUAUGAACAAACAGACAUAAUAUAUGUAAAUACUGUAAAUUGUCACUGUUAUGACAUUCUUCAGGAGGAUGAUAAUCAAUCUCUGUCUCCAAACCAAAGUGAAGCAUCCUACGAAUCGAUGAGUUCAUUUUCCCCUCCAAAAUUUCAAGAUAAAUGUUAUGAGAAUGUUGCAACUGGAAUAAUGACUGAUUAAUUUCAAAUUAAUCUCAGAUAUGUUUCACUGGUUCAAGGAUAUAUGUCUACGAAUCUCUUUGAUUUAAAGAUACUGAAUGUGGACUUUGAAACAUAAUACAUUCAAUCAAUCAUGUACAUGGCUGUGUCCUCCUCAAAUAAAAAACCUAUGCAGCACCAACUUUAAUGCACCAGAUGCGCAUGUCGGUAUAUAAGAUUUCUUUAGUUAUGUUCAUGCUCAAACGUUGGAAAUUCGAUAUAUUCUCAAUUUUAAUUUUAUUCUCAAGUUUCUUCAGUUAUAUUUUUUUCCUUUUUCCUCAGAGAG